rnacentral:misc_RNA from 1 species
AAAAGAAAAAGGAGAAAUUGUUAGAUACGGUCCGGUGCAAUGAGUGUAUAUAUAUACAUUAUUGUAUAAUAUCUCCCCAUUGCUUCCUUAAUCUCAUCACUGUUACUCUCUUCCCUGCCCAUCAAUUUCCACUGCCCCUUUUUUCUUCGCGCUCGGUGUGGCGUCUACGCCGUCUCAUGGCCGUUCCAACCACCUCCUCUACCUCCACCACCAUCAGCGAUCUCCCUGAUGUCAUUUUAUCGAACAUUUUUGCUUCCAUAUCCGACACUCGAACACGAAACUCUCUUUCUCUAGUGAACCGCAAGUUCUUAACUCUUGAGAGAGCCACGCGCACCUCCCUUACGCUCCGAGGCAACGCGCGCGACUUUUAUAUGAUUCCGACUUGUUUCAGAUCCGUCACUCACCUAGACCUUUCUCUACUCUCUCCAUGGGGUCACUCUUUGCUCGCUUCCUCGCCGCUUUCCGAUCCUUUCCUCCUGGCGCACCGCCUCGGCGUUGCAUUUCCGCUUGUUACGUCACUGACUGUUUACGCUCGAUCUCCGUCCACUUUGCAGAUCCUCCUCCUUCAGUGGCCGCGAUUGUGCUCAGUGAAGCUCGUCCGGUGGCAUCAACGACCGUCGUCGCCUUAUCUGGGAGCGGAUAUUGCUCCGUUGUUCGAGCAAUGUGAAGGGCUUACUUGUCUGGAUCUCUCGAAUUUCUACUACUGGUCGGAGGAUCUUCCUCCGGUUCUCCAAGCGUAUCCUGAUGUUUCCAAGUCCUUGAAAUGCUUGGAUCUGCUCACGGUUUCAUUAACUGAUGGAUUUAAGGCACACGAGAUUCUUGCAAUCACUGCUGCUUGUUCAAAUCUCACCAAGUUUCUGGUUGCUUGCAUGUUUGAUCCGAGUUAUAUUGGAUUCAUUGGAGAUGAGACGUUGCUCGCGAUUGCAGCGAAUUGUCCCAAGUUAUCGGUUCUUCAUCUGGUUGAUACGUCGUCGUUGGGGAACACCAGGAGUGAUCCUGACGAUGACGGGUAUACUGGGGAGGAUGCGAGGGUUAGUGUUGCAGGGUUGGUGGAUUUUUUCUCAGGGCUUCCAUUGCUUGAAGAGCUAGGUCUUUGUGUUUGCAAGAAUGUUAGAGAUACUGCUGUGGCUUUGGAAGCUCUUAAUUCUCGGUGUCCAAAGUUGAAAUUGCUAAAAUUACAACAAUUUCAUGGUAUUUGCAUGGCAGUGGAGUCGCAGCUUGAUGGGGUUGCACUGUGUUCGAGGCUGGAGUCAUUGUCCAUCAACAAGUCUGCAGAUUUGACAGACAUGGGCUUGAUAGAGAUUGCGAGAGGAUGUUGUAGAUUGGCAAAGUUUGAAGUUGAGGGAUGCAAGAAGAUUACUAUGAGGGGCAUCAGGACAAUGGCUUGUUUGCUUCACAAGACUCUUGUUGAGGUCAAGAUCUCUGCUUGUAAGAAUCUCAAUGCUGUUGCAUCUUUGCGAGCAUUGGAGCCUAUUCGCCAUCGAAUUGAGAGACUUCAUAUUGAUUGUAUGUGGGAUGCUCUGCAAGAAGAGGACAAUUAUGCUGCUACUUGUGGUUUCAACCUCAAUGAAGCCCUCUUUGGAAAUGCUGAACAUGAUUAUUCCAAGAGCAAUAAAAGAAUCAAGUAUUCUGCCGAUGCUUUGUAUUUGCAAAGCAAUAGAGAUGGAUUUUGGAGCAAGUCCUGGGAUAAACUCGUAUAUCUCUCUCUCUGGAUUGGUGUUGGCGAGCUUCUAACUCCUUUGCCAAUGGCUGGUCUUGAGGAUUGUCCUAAUUUGGAGGAGAUUCGUAUCCGGGUUGAAGGGGAUUGCAGAGGCCGGCACAAACCAUUACAGAGAGCAUUUGGAUUGUGCUGCCUUGCCCAAUAUCCCCGUCUGUCAAAGAUGCAGUUGGAUUGCAGCGACACAACAGGUUUCGCAUUAACUGCCCCGUCCGGACAAAUGGAUCUGAGCUUGUGGGAGAGAUUUUUCUUGAAUGGGAUAGGGAAUUUGAGUCUCAAUGAGCUUGAUUAUUGGCCACCACAAGACAAAGAUGUAAACCAAAGGAGUCUGUCCCUUCCAGGAGCUGGGUUGCUUGCAGAAUGUCUCACAUUGAGGAAGCUAUUUAUCCAUGGAACAGCUCAUGAGCAUUUCAUGAUGUUCCUUCUCCGAAUCCCAAACCUACGGGAUGUCCAACUUAGGGAAGACUACUAUCCGGCACCAGAGAACGAUAUGAGCACAGAAAUGAGAGUGGGUUCAUGCAACCGGUUUGAAGAUGCCUUAAACAGCCGCCAUAUUCUCGACUGAAAUAUGAGAAUGAUCAAUACAAGGUGAUCAUCACAAUUAAGACUCAAAAGCUUUCGCAUUUAUUAAGGAUGCGAUUUGUUUGUGCUAAAAAUUGAGAAAGACCUUAUUCACGUUUAGCUAUUCUCUUUUUUAUCUUUUUUUGGUAGUUUCGUGCAGAAAGAAAGAAACCAUAAAUUAUAUGCAAUUUCCAACAGUUAAAAUUGACAAAAAAAAUAAAAAGUGCCUUAUUAUCCCCUUUUCCAUUGCACAGAAAGAUUCAAUGGUUCCAUUGAAAUCCGAAAACUGAAGCUUUCAAGACAGUUUACACCAGAGCCGAAACACAUCGCAAAGCCUCUACA